AGAGUUUGAUCAUGGCUCAGGAUAAACGCUGGCGGCGCACAUAAGACAUGCAAGUCGAACGGACUUAACCAUUAGUUUACUAUUGGAGCGGUUAGUGGCGGACUGGUGAGUAACACGUAAGCAACCUGCCUAUCAGAGGGGAACAACAGUUAGAAAUGACUGCUAAUACCGCAUAUGCCUUAACCUUCGCAUGAAGGAAGAGGGAAAGGAGCAAUCCGCUGAUAGAUGGGCUUGCGUCUGAUUAGAUAGUUGGUGGGGUAACGGCCUACCAAGUCAACGAUCAGUAGCCGGACUGAGAGGUGAACGGCCACAUUGGGACUGAGAUACGGCCCAGACUCCUACGGGAGGCAGCAGUCGGGAAUAUUGCGCAAUGGAGGAAACUCUGACGCAGUGACGCCGCGUGCAGGAAGAAGGUUUUCGGAUUGUAAACUGCUUUGGACAGGGAAGAAACAAGACAGUACCUGUAGAAUAAGCUCCGG
rnacentral:rRNA from 1 species